GCUCGGGUGGCGGAAUUGGUAGACGCGCUAGACUAAGGAUCUAGUGGUGAUAAACCGUAGGGGUUCGAGUCCCCUCCCGAGCACCA
rnacentral:tRNA from 2 species